GGGCGGUUAGCUCAGUUGGGAGAGCACCACGUCGACAACGUGGGGGUCGUUGGUUCGAGCCCAAUAUCGCCCACCA
rnacentral:tRNA from 2 species